rnacentral:rRNA from 1 species
UGGGUUUGACAUGCAGGGAAAUCUCACAGAGAUGUGAGGUCCGCAAGGGUCCUGCACAGGUGGUGCAUGGCUGUCGUCAGCUCGUGUCGUGAGAUGUUGGGUUAAGUCCCGCAACGAGCGCAACCCUCGUCCUAUGUUGCCAGCGGAUUAUGCCGGGGACUCAUAGGAGACUGCCGGGGUCAACUCGGAGGAAGGUGGGGACGACGUCAAGUCAUCAUGCCCCUUAUGUCCAGGGCUGCACACAUGCUACAAUGGCUGGUACAAAGGGCAGCUAAACCGCAAGGUGGAGCGAAUCCCAAAAAGCCAGUCUCAGUUCGGAUUGGGGUCUGCAACUCGACCCCAUGAAGUCGGAGUCGCUAGUAAUCGCAGAUCAGCAACGCUGCGGUGAAUACGUUCCCGGGCC